AUCCGCCAUAGCUCAGUUGGUAGUAGCGCAUGACUGUUAAUCAUGAUGUCGUAGGUUCGAGUCCUACUGGCGGAG
rnacentral:tRNA from 1 species